rnacentral:rRNA from 1 species
UGGGGGAUAUUGCACAAUGGGCGAAAGCCUGAUGCAGCGACGCCGCGUGGGGGAUGAAGGCUUUCGGGUUGUAAACCUCUUUCGCUAUCGAAUAAGGCCCGCUUAGGGUGGGUUGAGGGUAGGUGGAGAAGAAGCGCCGGCCAACUACGUGCCAGCAGCCGCGGUAAUACGUAGGGCGCGAGCGUUGUCCGGAAUUAUUGGGCGUAAAGGGCUUGUAGGCGGCUUGUUGCGCCUGCUGUGAAAACGCGGGGCUUAACUUCGCGCGUGGAGUGGGGACGGGCAGGCGUGAGAGUGGUAGGGGUGACUGGAAUUCCAGGUGUAGCGGUGGGAUGCGCAGAUAUCUGGAGGAACACCGAUGGCGAAGGCAGGUCACUGGGCCAUUACUGACGCUGAGGAGCGAAAGCGUGGGUAGCGAACAGG